AUUUAAAUAGCUUAAUUAAAAGUUUGAUAUUGAAGAUAUUAAGAUAAGGUUAUCCUUUUUAAAUA
rnacentral:tRNA from 1 species